rnacentral:lncRNA from 1 species
UCCUACUAUAUGUGGGCUUGAGAAAUAGCGUUUACAGGGGCCUUCGCACCCCACACACAGAGUAGUAUAUCAUGUUCUUUCACAUGUUUUACCAUUAAAAUAAAUCAUUUGGUUCGAUCGAUCACAAGCCCCUAAUGCUGAAUUGCAAAGUGACUAAACAUGCAACAAAUCACCAAACUCCAAUUUAUUAUUACACACCAAAGGCGCACAACAGUUUAACUGAAGAAUGAUACUAAAAAUUAAGUCUGAUAGGUGGAUCAUCAAAGGAGAAUCAACGUAUCCAAGAGCAAGGCCAACAUAGGAGUGGUGCACCACGCAAGGGACAUAGCCAGUCGAGGAAAUUCGGCCAGUGAUCCUCAGAAGAACCCCCAAAUGAUGCCACCCCCACGCUGCACGGUAGGCUUCACCUGCCACCUACUCCAUGACUUUUGCUCCUAGCGUCAACACCCUUUGAUCUCCCUCCUUUUAUCUGGAAAAUUGCCCAAUUUGUUAGCCACUUACAUAUCAACCUGAUAAGCAUAAUUAGAACAUUUAUCAGCUUCUUUUUCCAAAAACAACAACUGUUUCUGCAUCUUCAAAUUGUCCAAAAGAUAGCAGCGACACAAACUAACACCUGUUUUUUAGUUACAUCAUGUUGAAUUUUUUUAAUCUAGUCACUACAUCACAAAAUCAGAUUGGCAGGAUUGAUCUCAAAUUUAAAGCAUAUUUAAGAAAACCCCACACUAGUUUAUCCACUGAACAUCUGAAAAAAAGUGUUUAUUGUUCUCAUCUUGACCACAAAACACACAAUUUUUGGGAUCUAUCUAGCCACUUUUCAAUAAAUUGUCUCUAGUUAAUAUGCCAUUUUGAGCAUCAACCAAAGAAAGACUUUGAUUUUUGGCGGAAUUUUAUUUUUUCUUAAAAAAAUUGUGCCAAACCACAAUAUUGAACAACAAGGUGUCUAUAAAGUGAUUUAACUUUAAAAAGACCAUAUGCAAUUAACAUGCACUUAAUAGAAUCCUUGUUGCGAGACAUCACAUUCCAUCACAUCUCCUUUUGAGGAUAUCCCAAAGAGUAAGAGUAUCACCUCACAAUGUUAUUCUAAAUCUAAAACCCUCCCAACUUCUCUACAAGGCAUUAGCUGCAGUAAUAUUAUGAUCAAAGCUCAAAUUAUACUAUAUAGCAUAAGAGAUUUUAAGAGGUUUAUAAUCCACCAACAGUCCCCGAAAAUCUAGCAUUCUUUCCAUUAUCCACUUUUUUGCAAUAUUGGUAGAAUGUGUAUUUAAUUUUCAUGAGACUGGACCAAAAAUGGGAGUGCCUAGUUUUAGGUUUAGUUCCAAAAAGGCAACCCUUCCGAACAUGCUUAUUCAAGAGAAUCAUGUGCCAAAUACCAUUUUUAGUUUCUAAGUUCCAUAACUAUUUAGCAGACAAGUUUUGUUCAUGAGUUCAGGAUUUAAAAUCCAUAAACCACCUUGAUCUUUAGGUCUAAAUCAAGUGUUCUAGAUUACUAAGUGUUAUUUUUUUCUUAUUGUCAUCUCCCUGCCAAACAAACCUAGCCAUGAAGAGAUUGGCUCUUGGAUGGGGUAGAAACACAUAAGUUGAAUCUCCCCCUCUAUUGUUAAAUCUUCUCUCAUAGUGAUAGUUAUUAAAUCUCUCCCCUUUUGUUGAAUCUACCUUGCGCGCCUGCACCACCAUAAGACCUAGCCAUACCUUCUUGCUCACCAGGUGGCGGUGGUAGAGCAAUAAAGCCUUACCACACAUCGCUUGCAUCCCCACCAAAUUCUCUUAGGGGGUGGAUCAAAGCAUCCAAAUACCCAAAGGUAGCAGAAGGCACAUUCUCCUUAUGUGCUUUCCUAUCCCACCAACCUGGACCUCCUAGAUAAAAAACAUCCAGUCCAACCGCCCAGGGCCAACUACAGAAGGUUCUAUGGGUAAAGGACAAAACCCUAAAACACCCCUCCUUGCUCAAUAUUUAUCAUCACAACAUCAAUGUAAUCUAAGAAAUUCACCCCAAAAAACAAGCAUAUCCUUUGCAAAAUUGAAAGGAUAGAUGGAAAAUAACCAAUUCUCAUAGCCUUUUUGACUAAAUUUCGACCAUUAACAUCUAAAUUCCAUUUAAUCACUAUAUCAUCACAAAAUUUGAUAUUGUCGGUAUCAACAUCAGAAAGAUCCAAGGACAAAUCAUCCUCAUAACAGUAUUACAAUCAAAAUCAAUGACAUGAUCAACUUCCAUUGGGAAAUCCACCGAAAACUUUUAUGAGCAUGCAACUAAGAUCUCCUAACCCUAUUUCUUGCAACUACAAUCCCCCACUGUUAGUUUGUACAUGAGAAUGUAAAUAUUUGUAGGGAUCAACAAUCUUACUCGAAAAUGAAGCAGCAAAAUGAUCGUAGGAGUCCUCGACUCCUCCCCGGUAGCAGCCAUAAUUGACUGCCUGCCAGGAAGACACCUACUCAUCGGCGG